GACACCAGCUUUUACUCGGAUAUAGCGGAAACAGUGUUGUACAGUGCGCAUGCGUACCACACGCUUUAAAAAAAAUACGCAUGCGCACGACUUUCGUUAAAAAUCCGUACGCACACACAUGGUUCUCUCAGUCCCAUGUGCGCCGUAGAGGCACCACGUGCGUCCUGCAUGCUCCCGAAAAGAAGAAUACCACCCGAGAGCCCAACUUCCGGGUCACGUGGUUAUGAUGGAGCGGGAGAUUAGACUCGAGACUGGUCCCCCUUCAGGACAGGAGCCCUUUCACUUCAAUGGCCAUGGGAAAUUGUUUGAUCCACUGACCGUAGAGGUGAGCUGAAGAACAUGGACUUGUGUAGAUGUGGACCAUGAACCAACACUGUCUUUGGAAAUGUGCAUCAUGAACCUGUGGCCCUGCAGAUGUCCAAAUGGUUCCAGGACACGUUUUCCCCCUUUUAAGGAUGUUGCUGAUGCUCCAGCCUAUUGCGUGACCGUGUAGCUAAUGCAAGGUUGUAGAACUGAUGCUCCAGCCUAUUGCGUGACCGUGUAGCUAAUGCAAGGUUGUAGAACUGAUGCUCCAGCCUAUUGCGUGACCGUGUAGCUAAUGCAAGGUUGUAGAACUGGAAACAAACCCUGAGGAAUCUGGAAUGGACUCAUAGAUGCCCCCCUCAUGCAGAUGCACAUGGGCUGUCUUGGAUUGUUUUAAAGAAGGGAGGGAUCAUCGACAUGGUUGAAAUUACUCAAAUAGAAAAUCUAUUACUAUCUGCUUAAACCCUAAUUCUAAUUUUGUCUGGAAAUUGAUGAGGAAAGGUGGAAAAAAGCCUGGAAUCAUUUGUUUUAAUGCCUUUUAAUUUGUUUAAAAAGGCAAUAAAUCAAAUAAAUAAAAUUGUAUAUGGCUGUACCUUGCUUGAAUUCAGUGAGGUCCAGAGUUUUACUCAUUCUUUCACAAAUGUUUGUAGAAGCGGUCUGCAUGCUAAGGUGCUCGAUUUUAUACACCUGUGGCCAUGGGAAGUGAUUGGAACACAGGAAUUCAAUGAGUUGGAGUAACACGGCUCGUGGAUCCCCUUCGUAAGCUUCGUCGUGGAUGAGACACUGGUAAAAUCCUGCAUCAGACUGUUGUACUGAAUUGAUGUGGAGGGAGAGAUCACCAUCUUGAAAACCUUCUACAGACAUCAUGAAUCUGUCUGCUGAGGCUUCCUCAUGGGUCACAGAUCUGUUAUGAAUGAACAGCAGGAACAGUCGUCCAGCUUUCAUCCAUUUUACAUCUUUAACACUUUGGUCAUGUGACCCCUUGACCCCAAACUAGUACUAAAAUGAUCUACUUGGACACCACCACAAGGUACACCUCUUCUUAUCACAAAAAAAUCUUUUGUUCUUUUAAAUUCUUUUAUUUUUAUUUAUAUUUAUUUUAUUUAUAUUAAUUAUAGAUAGAUGGAUGGAUGCAUGCAUGCACAGUGUGUGGGAAUGGACACUUUGCAGCUUCAAACAGCCAGGAAAAAAAUAUGGAAAUGCUGCUUGUGUGUUUAAGAAGACCAUUGGGUAAUAACAAUAAAAAACUGUGUGUAAUGGUGAUAAAAAAAAUGACUUGUUUAUUUAAAUAAGAAAGGAGUUAAACAAAUGAUGAAAAUAAACAAAUGAAUAAAAAUCAGUGUACCCUGUGGGGGUAUUCAAGUAGAUCAUUUUAGUACUAGUUUGGGGUCAAGGGGUCACAUGACCUAUAAGCUAUUGGAGAAAGUGUUUUUUUUUUUUUUUUUUAAAUAAAAAUAAGAGAUUUUUUUGUAAUAAGAUGUGUACCUUGUGGGGGAGGCCAAGUAGAUUAUUUUAGUACUAGUUUGG